UACGUAGGGGGCAAGCGUUGUCCGGAAUCAUUGGGCGUAAAGAGCGUGUAGGCGGCCAGGUAGGUCGGUUGUGAAAACUGGAGGCUCAACCUUCAGAGGUCGACCGAAACCAUCUGGCUAGAGUCCGGGAGAGGAGAGUGGAAUUCCUGGUGUAGCGGUGAAAUGCGCAGAUAUCAGGAAGAACACCCGUGGCGAAAGCGGCUCUCUGGAACGGUACUGACGCUGAGACGCGAAAGCGUGGGAGCGAACAGG
rnacentral:rRNA from 1 species